UCGGAAUGAUUGGGCGUAAAGGGUCCGUAGGCGGUUUCCUAAGUUAGUUCUAUAAUUUUAUGGGCUCAACCUUAAAAGUGAACUGAGACUAGUGAAACUACGAGUUUGAGAGGGGAUAGUGGAAUUCCUAGUGUAAGUAUAAAAUCUCUAGAUAUUAGGAGGAACACCAGUAGGCGAAGGCGACUAUCUGGCUCAAAACUGACGCUGAGGGACGAAAGUAUGGGUAUCGAAUGGGAUUAGAGACCCCAGUAGUCCAUACCGUAAACGAUGAGUGUUAUAUAUUCGGAUUUUUCAUUUUACUGUAAUUUUAAUUUGUAAAAUUACGGUCGCGCUUCAUAAAUAUAUCUUUUAGAUAUAAAAACGUGCAUUUAAGUCCUGAAUUAACAAGUAUUAGUUAUUAAUUUAACAAUCUUUUUUUAUUUAUUUUUAUUGUUUAACAAUUUUAAAAAUCUGAGUAUAUUUAUAAAUAUUUAUAAAGCUAACGCGUUAAACACUCCGCCUGGGGAGUACAGUCGCAAGACCGAAACUCAAAGGAAUUGACGGGGGCCCACACAAGCGGUGGGGUAUGUGGUUUAAUGCGAUGAUACGCGCAAAACCUUACCAGCUCUUGACAUUUGACUAUGAUAUAUGUAAUGGUUCUACAUAUAUCGCAAGUUAAAAUAGAUUUUAACUUUUUAAAAAAGAGUCAAACAGGUGUUGCAUGGCUGUCGUCAGCUCGUGUUGUGAAAUGUUUGGUUAAUUCCUUUAACGAGCGUAACCCCUAGAUUUGAGGUUUCAUUUUGAAUUUGCAAAAUUAAAUUUCAAAUCUACUGCCAUUUAUAUAUUAGAGGAAGGUGGGGAUGACGUCAAGUCCGCAUGGCCCUUAUGAGCUGGGCUACACACAUGCUACAAUGGCAAUGACAGUGAGAAGCGAUGGCGCGAGCCGGAGCAAUUCUAUAAACGUUGCCUUAGUACGGAUUGUAGGCUGCAACUCGCCUACAUGAAGUUGGAAUCGCUAGUAAUCGUAGAUCAGCACGCUACGGUGAAUUAGUACUUGGGCCUUGUACAUACCGCCCGUCACACCCUGGAAAUUGUUUCUAAUUGAAGCUUGUUACCUAACCGUAAGGAGGGAAUCUGUGAGAUUGGAGAGAGUGACUGGGGUGAAGUCGUAACAAGGUAGCUGUAGGGGAACCUGCUGCUG
rnacentral:rRNA from 1 species